GUGGGGAAUCUUGCGCAAUGGGCGAAAGCCUGACGCAGCCAUGCCGCGUGAAUGAUGAAGGUCUUAGGAUUGUAAAAUUCUUUCACCGGGGACGAUAAUGACGGUACCCGGAGAAGAAGCUCCGGCUAACUUCGUGCCAGCAGCCGCGGUAAUACGAAGGGGGCUAGCGUUGCUCAGAAUUACUGGGCGUAAAGGGCGCGUAGGCGGACAGUUUAGUCAGAGGUGAAAGCCCAGGGCUCAACCUUGGAAUUGCCUUUGAUACUGGCUGUCUUGAGUACGGGAGAGGUGAGUGGAACUCCGAGUGUAGAGGUGAAAUUCGUAGAUAUUCGGAAGAACACCAGUGGCGAAGGCGACUCACUGGCCCGUUACUGACGCUGAGGCGCGAAAGCGUGGGGAGCAAACAGGAUUAGAAACCCGUGUAGUCC
rnacentral:rRNA from 1 species